rnacentral:rRNA from 1 species
GAUGAACGCUGGCGGCGUGCCUAAUACAUGCAAGUCGAGCGAACGGACGAGAAGCUUGCUUUUCUGAUGUUAGCGGCGGACGGGUGAGUAACACGUGGAUAACCUACCUAUAAGACUGGGAUAACUUCGAGAAACCGGAGCUAAUACCGGAUAAUAUUUUGAACCGCAUGGUUCAAAAGUGAAAGACGGUCUUGCUGUCACUUAUAGAUGGAUCCGCGCUGCAUUAGCCAGUUGGUAAGGUAACGGCUUACCAAGGCAACGAUGCAUAGCCGACCUGAGAGGGUGAUCGGCCACACUGGAACUGAGACACGGUCCAGACUCCUACGGGAGGCAGCAGUAGGGAAUCUUCCGCAAUGGGCGAAAGCCUGACGGAGCAACGCCGCGUGAGUGAUGAAGGUCUUCGGAUCGUAAAACUCUGUUAUUAGGGAAGAACAUAUGUGUAAGUAACUGUGCACAUCUUGACGGUACCUAAUCAGAAAGCCACGGCUAACUACGUG